CCUACGGGCGGCUGCAGUGGGGAAUAUUGGACAAUGGGCGAAAGCCUGAUCCAGCCAUGCCGCGUGUGUGAAGAAGGCCUUCGGGUUGUAAAGCACUUUCAGUGGGGAAGAAAGCCUUGGGGCUAAUACCCUCGAGGAAGGACAUCACCCACAGAAGAAGCACCGGCUAACUCCGUGCCAGCAGCCGCGGUGAAUACGGAGGGUGCGAGCGUUAAUCGGAAUUACUGGGCGUAAAGCGCGCGUAGGCGGUCUGAUAAGCCGGUUGUGAAAGCCCCGGGCUCAACCUGGGAACGGCAUCCGGAACUGUCAGGCUAGAGUGCAGGAGAGGAAGGUAGAAUUCCCGGUGUAGCGGUGAAAUGCGUAGAGAUCGGGAGGAAUACCAGUGGCGAAGGCGGCCUUCUGGACUGACACUGACGCUGAGGUGCGAAAGCGUGGGUAGCAAACAGGAUUAGAUACCCGAGUAGUC
rnacentral:rRNA from 1 species